rnacentral:rRNA from 1 species
UACGUAGGGUGCAAGCGUUUGUCCGGAAUUAUUGGGCGUAAAGAGCUCGUAGGCGGUUUGUCGCGUCUGCUGUGAAAAUCCAGGGCUUAACCCUGGACCUGCAGUGGGUACGGGCAGACUGGAGUGCGGUAGGGGAGAUCGGAAUUCCUGGUGUAGCGGUGAAAUGCGCAGAUAUCAGGAGGAACACCGGUGGCGAAGGCGGAUCUCUGGGCCGUAACUGACGCUGAGGAGCGAAAGCAUGGGGGAGCGAACAGG